AAAACAUAUUUGCCUCAUGCCGCCAUGAUGGUAAUUGUCUUUGCCACUUUCCAGUUGGUAGGACAAAGUAUCUGACACCUACAACUUAGGGAAAGAGAGAUUUAUUUUGGUUAACAGUUGUGGUUCAUGAUUUGUUGACUCCAGUGCAGAAAUGGGAAGGCGGAGGAGAAUGUUGAAGGAAAAUGUGCUCAAGCUGAUAGCCAAGAAGCAGAGGGAAAAGAGAAGAACUGGGGGACAGGAAUACACCCUUCUUGAUCAUGCCUUCUGUGAUGACUUCCAAUAAAACCCACCUCAUAUUCAGCCACUGAACUCCUCAACAGAUGAAUCCACUAGAGUAUCCUGUGAUCACCUGCCAAACACAUGAGGCUCUGAGGGAACCUUUUAGAUCCAGAGCAUAGCAGGAAUGGUACAGAACUGUGAAGACCAGCCCACAACUAAAGUUUCAUCUCUUGGCUCUAAUUUGAAAAUUAUGUUCCAUUUCUCUUUAGUGUCACUUAAACACGUGAAUACACAGAAGAACACAUGGCCCUGUACUACUGACUGCUUAAGAAAAUUUUUACUCUACGGACUUUUAUCUGAACCAUAAUUUCCAAACAGCAUACAAAAAGAAAAAUGAAACAAAAUAGGUAUGAGUUUGAGCAUCUAAGCUUCUCUACUGGAUAUUUGAAAAAUAUUUGACCUGACAUGAAUAUAGAUAAUAUGUGAAGCACAGAGAAAGGUGAAUAAUUUAUAAAUACUUGGUCAGUAUUCAUGCCUAUUUGGUAGGUUUAAAUCAACCAUAGCUAUUUCUGGGCUAAUGCUAUACUUUACAUAUUUGAGAUUGUUGCACGAAAG
rnacentral:lncRNA from 1 species